UACGGAGGAUGCAAGCGUUAUCCGGAUUCAUUGGGUUUAAAGGGUGCGUAGGCGGGCUAUUAAGUCAGUGGUGAAAUCCUGCAGCUUAACUGCAGAACUGCCGUUGAUACUGAUAGUCUUGAGUUUGGUUAAGGUAGGCGGAAUGUGUAAUGUAGCGGUGAAAUGCUUAGAUAUCACACAGAACACCGAUUGCGAAGGCAGCACACUAAGUCAUUAUUGACGCUGAGGCACGAAAGUGUGGGGAUCAAACAGGA
rnacentral:rRNA from 1 species